AGCCAGCACAGGGACUUAACAGAAUAGCAUCUUAAUUGCUUAUCAGGAUGAGAAAGAGCGAAGUCGUGGAGAUUGAGAAAUAUGAGACACUCUCUGCAGAAAUAAAGGAUCAACAUGCAACGAGGCAUGCUGACAGACUCCCAGAAAGCCGAGAUGAAUGUAGGAAUAUCAAGAUUUUUAAGUGUGUUUCCUGUUUUGCUGCAGGGGUCAGCUUAAGGACAAAGUAACAGUUUACAAGUUGUGCAGAUGGAUACCCUCUGGUGUAGCAGACUCAUUAUGAUAAGAGUAGUAAAACUUCAAGCCAGACCAUGUGGCAAAUAGCCUGAGAGCCUUGGUGCCAACAACUGGAGAAGAGACUAUGGACCAGAGGGGCCUGCCAGCUGGGGACCAGCAAGUGCAUGAAGUCCAGCAUGAAGUCCAUAAACCAACUGACCAGAACCAGCUGUUAACAAAUCUCUGUGUGAUGUUAGAAAACCCUCAACCUGGUCUUCAGAUCUGGGAGUGUCUGCAUUGCAGUUUACAGUUGUGAGAUCUUCUUGUGUUAUUGUGGCUGCCAAUCAAGGCACUGCUCAUAUGUCUGUGUUGAUCUGUGCAAUGGCUGUGUUAAUAUUGUUCAUGCAUCUGCAUGUUUGGAGAUGCUAGCUACAGGCUAGACCUGCAAAUGGGAGCAACAACACCCAUAUCAAUAACGCUGAGACAAGGGGAACACAAAAGAUGAGAAGCCCACAGAGUUUGGAAACCUUUAAAGAUCUUUCAAAGACAAUUUAGUCCAACUGCACCUGGUCCAUGUUUGUCUAGUCCAAAUUUAUCCAAUUCUCCUUAUGAUGACAAACUUGCACUUCUUUUGGAUGGUAUUGGUAACUGUGCAAAAAAGAUACUUGACAACAUGUCCAUUGGGUAUGACAGUAUAUAUUGAUUUAUUUCUGAAAACUUCCUGGGUAAAAACUCACUUCUUAACUGCUGAACGUUACACAAGCAAAGUGCAUCAAAAUAUCCACAAGAAACUGCACUGACUCUUUUUGGGGGGGGCGGGGGGGUCUAAAUAGAAGAACUGUUUGUGCUUAAUAUUUAAACCAUCCUUACCUGUAAACUUCCUAAUUCCAAGUCAUUGUGACAAGCAGCUCGUAACAAAAAGAUUAAUAUUUAGUGUAGUAAGUACCGUGCAGAUGGAUGGUAUUUUAUGCAAGAUAUUUUUCAAAUUUAAUAUUAUGUAGGUAGUAAUUUUCCUGGUUGUAAAAUUGAGUUAACUUGAGAGAGACCUAUAAAAAUUAGGCUGGGUAUAUCAAAUACAGUGGUAAAAUGUCACGAUGAAAUCCAUUACAGUAGCCAUUAUAACUGUGCAUAUGCAGAACAUUGUUUCAAUUUGUUUUGGAAUAAAUCCUGCACUGC
rnacentral:lncRNA from 7 species